GGGAGAGUUUGAUCCUGGCUCAGAUUGAACGCUGGCGGCAUGCCUUACACAUGCAAGUCGAACGGUAACAGGGAGCUUGCUCCGCUGACGAGUGGCGAACGGGUGAGUAAUGUAUCGGAACGUACCAUUCAGUGGGGGAUAACGUAGCGAAAGUUACGCUAAUACCGCAUAUUCUGUGCGCAGGAAAGCAGGGGAUCGCAAGACCUUGCGCUGAUUGAGCGGCCGAUAUCAGAUUAGCUAGUUGGUGAGGUAAAAGCUCACCAAGGCGACGAUCUGUAGCGGGUCUGAGAGGAUGAUCCGCCACACUGGAACUGAGACACGGUCCAGACUCCUACGGGAGGCAGCAGUGGGGAAUUUUGGACAAUGGGGGCAACCCUGAUCCAGCCAUGCCGCGUGAGUGAAGAAGGCCUUCGGGUUGUAAAGCUCUUUCAGCCGGGAAGAAAAUGCAUAGGUUAAUACCCUGUGCGGAUGACGGUACCGGAAUAAGAAGCACCGGCUAACUACGUGCCAGCAGCCGCGGUAA
rnacentral:rRNA from 1 species